rnacentral:rRNA from 1 species
GACGAACGCUGGCGGCGUGCUUAACACAUGCAAGUCGAACGGAAAGGCCCUGCUCUUGCGGGGUGCUCGAGUGGCGAACGGGGGAGUAACACGUGAGUAACCUGUCCCUGACUUUGGGAUAACUCCAGGAAACUGGGGCUAAUACCGGAUAGGAGCUCUUGCUGCACGGGGGGGGUUGGAAAGUUUCGGCGGUUGGGGAUGGACUCGCAGCUUAUCAGCUUGUUGGUGAGGUAGUGGCUUACCAAGGCUUUGACGGGUAGCCGGCAUGGGAGGGUGACCGGCCACAUUGGGACUGAGAUACGGCCCAGACUCCUACGGGCGGCAGCAGUGGGGAAUAUUGCACAAUGGGCGGAAGCCUGAUGCAGCAACGCCGCGUGCGGGAUGACGGCCUUCGGGUUGUGAACCGCUUUCGCCUGUGACGAGGCGUGAGUGACGGUAAUGGGUAAAGAAGCACCGGCUAACUACGUG